AUUGAACGCUGGCGGCAUGCUUUACACAUGCAAGUCGAACGGCAGCGCGGGCUUCGGCCUGGCGGCGAGUGGCGAACGGGUGAGUAAUGCAUCGGAACGUGCCCAGUAGUGGGGGAUAGCCCGGCGAAAGCCGGAUUAAUACCGCAUACGACCUGAGGGUGAAAGCUGGGGACCGAAAGGCCUCGCGCUAUUGGAGCGGCCGAUGUCGGAUUAGCUAGUUGGUGGGGUAAAGGCUUACCAAGGCGACGAUCCGUAGCUGGUCUGAGAAGACGACCAGCCACACUGGGACUGAGACACGGCCCAGACUCCUACGGGAGGCAGCAGUGGGGAAUUUUGGACAAUGGGGGCAACCCUGAUCCAGCCAUGCCGCGUGCGGGAAGAAGGCCUUCGGGUUGUAAACCGCUUUUGUUCGGGAAGAAAUCCUCUGGGCUAAUACCCCGGGGGGAUGACGGUACCGGAAGAAUAAGCACCGGCUAACUACGUG
rnacentral:rRNA from 1 species